CGCGCGCGACGCGCGAGGCCGGGCCCGGCUGCUUCCGGCGCUCUGCGCGGGGCCGUGCGUUUCGCGCACGUCGUCGCCUCGCGGCGCGCGCCCCCCGCUCGCUCCGCAGCGGCCUGAAGGAACUCUCCGCUGAAGGGCGCCCGGGGCCGGAGAGGCGGAGGCGGCGUCAGGACACGCGCAGCGGCGUCGGGCGCGCGGCUGCGGACGAAGGAGGACGGCGGGCGCGUGCGAGGCGCCGGCUUCGUUAUAUCUGAGUGGAAGCCGAGGUCGGGGGAAGUUCCUGCCGAGUGAAGAAGGGCAGAUGUUGCGUCUGUGUUCUGAGACGCGGAAGCUAGGAAGUUUCGGCCCGCUAGUGUCGCCUCGCCACCAGGGCAAUCUGAGAUCAAUUAGCGGCCGCCCACGGGUGACGGGAGAUGCCGCCCCGCGUCCUGUGGGGGGGCCCAGCCGAGGUGACUCGCCGGGCGGCUGUGUCCUUCCGAAGUGGAGCGACGCGCGGUGCAGUCCAAACUUCGGGAAGUGUCGUCCCCGAAUUCCUGGCGAGCAGCUAGGAAAUAGGAGUGUUGAUGGGGCUGCUGUUGGGUAGAGGGUUGUCCCCAAGAGGAAUUCAUUAAUGUCUGUCACCGAAGGAACCAGCCCUGGCAUGGGGCUGUUGGCGAAAGGAAUGGAGGAGAACCUGCGUGUUUAUAAGUAACCUGUCUGAACUUUAAAUGCUCCCAAUUCCCCAGUUGGGAAGCUCGAUAUAAAAUUCGAAAUGACUUCCCUGCGAAGAGAAAUAGUACAAAAAGUGGCUCUGACAGUGCUCAGUGCAUCAUGGGCCAUGUAUUAAUAUUUUUGAAGGAUGCAAUUGAGAGCCAAAUGUAAGAUGAUAAAAUGAAGGACUAAAGCAGUUCAAGGGUGGGGCUAGGGAAGAACAGAGGUGCUCUGGUUUAGACCGAGGGGAGUGAAGGGAAGGGAGGGGCACGGGGAAGGAAGGAGAGUGGAAUGUAUCGGACAUCAUAUGAUUACACGAUAGCUGAAAUUCCACAUCAUGUACAACCAGAAGAAUGAGGAGUUAAACUCCAUUUAUGUGUGAUGUCAAAAUGUAUUCUACUGUCAUUAUAAAUAAUUAGAACCAAAAAAGAAAAAAUAAGCAGUUUACAGGGCUGGGGUUGUGGCUCAGCGGUAGAGUGCUUGCCUAGCAUGUGCGUGUGAGGCGCUGGGUUCGAUCUUCAGCACCACAUAAAAAUAAAUAAAGGUGUUGUGUCCAACUACA
rnacentral:lncRNA from 1 species